GAUGGCCUACAUGUUCGUCCACGAUGGCCUCGUGCACCGUCGUUUCCCUGUGGGUCCUAUAGCCGCUGUCCCCUACUUACGACGUGUCGCUGCUGCCCAUCAUAUCCAUCACACGGAUAAAUUCGACGGAGUUCCGUAUGGUUUGUUUUUAGGACCCAAGGAAUUGGAGGAAGUGGAUGGCGAGGAAGAGCUGCAGAAGGAAAUUAAAAAGAGAAGCAAGGUUUACAGAAACUAAAUUAAAUUUUCUUUCAAUAUUAUUAAUAUUUACACACAAGUAACAACAAG
rnacentral:misc_RNA from 1 species